ensembl:miRNA
GAGUUCUAACGUAUUAGGUUGGUGCAAAAGUAAUAGUGGUUUUUGCCAUUAAAAGUAAUGAUAAAAACCGUAAUUACUUUUGGAACAAUAUUAAUAGAAUUUCAG